AUUGUACGCUGGCGGCAUGCCUUACACAUGCAAGUCGAACGGUAACAGGUCUUCGGAUGCUGACGAGUGGCGAACGGGUGAGUAAUACAUCGGAACGUGCCUAGUAGUGGGGGAUAACUACUCGAAAGAGUGGCUAAUACCGCAUGAGAUCUACGGAUGAAAGCAGGGGAUCGCAAGACCUUGUGCUACUAGAGCGGCCGAUGGCAGAUUAGGUAGUUGGUGGGAUAAAAGCUUACCAAGCCGACGAUCUGUAGCUGGUCUGAGAGGACGAUCAGGCACACUGGGACUGAGACACGGCCCAGACUCCGACGGGAGGCAGCAGUGGGGAAUUUUGGACAAUGGGCGCAAGCCUGAUCCAGCAAUGCCGCGUGCAGGAUGAAGGCCUUCGGGUUGUAAACUGCUUUUGUACGGAACGAAAAGCCCUGGGUUAAUACCCUGGGGUCAUGACGGUACCGUAAGAAUAAGCACCGGCUAACUACGUGCCAGCCGCCGCCGUAACAC
rnacentral:rRNA from 1 species